rnacentral:misc_RNA from 1 species
UAAUUCUUCAAUUAUUACAACAAUUAAUUUGCUUCCAAAUGGUCCCUAUAUUGGCCAACCUACAUCAAUUUGCCUCUAGCUGGCCCAACACUGGGCAUGUACCUUUGUAAGGGUCAUUUCCUUUUCUUUCUCUUUCACAAUUUCUCUCUCUAUUUUUCCUCCAAUUCUGGACUUUGAAAGUUAUAUACCUCUGUGUGUGUGUGAGUGUGUUUUUCUCUUCUUUUAUCAUUGAUGAUGAUCUUAUCAUUCCCAACUUGGCUAGGGUUUUCGAUAAGAUCAGGUACACCUGCUGCUGCUACUUGUGUAGAAUCUGUUCCCCAAUUUCACCCAUUUCCCUUUCCUUCUAUCUGAAUGUUCCUCCGAAUGUAGGGGUCCAAAAAUCAACUGUUGUCUCAUGAGUUACCGGAAAUGUGCUCGAAACCGGUACCAGACACAGCCCUCGGCUCCUAAGAUCUUGUUUUUGUCCUUCUGGAUCCUUGCUAGACUUGUCAGAAUUCUGCACAUUAAUUAAGAAAAGAAAUGCAAUAUAAUAAUUACAUAUGUCCAAAAUAAUUAAGCAAAACCCGUCAUUAACCUUUAACUCCCUCUACCUAUAUAUAUACAAGGAAGAAGAAUAUUGUACCUGCUGGUGGUGCAUGGGAGCUCCAGUACUUUUCAUGUAUGGGUUGCUAAGUACCUAAUAAAAAUUUAGUAUGAAUAAGGCAUAUAUUAUAAUUGGGACUCAUUCGCUAUGAUAGAGUAUAUAUUGUAUAGCAAAGUCCAGAUGGAAACUUACAGUGACUUGCUCAUGGAGGAAUUUGAUGUAUUCAAUAGCUUCAGAGAGCACUGAGGCUGUAUCAGUCUUUCCGAAAGGCGAAACCAAUUGUUGGAGCGCAGUGAUUCUGUCCCCCAUCUUCUCUUUCCUCACCUUAAAGGCUGGCAUGGGCGAUGGCGUUUCAUUUCGAGGCCUUUUUGUUGCUCCCUCACUCCCACUUUUCUUUACUACUGUACUCGAAUCCCGUACUUCAGAUAUAUUCUUUGGUUUUUCUUCGAAAUUUGAAGUUGGAAAUUGUGGUUGUAACGAUGGGAAAAAGUUUGGACGAACAUCAGUCAUGGAACUUGCAGAUGCAUUCCAGAAGGGGGCGUUAUUGGAGAAGUGCAAUUGGUGGGGAGGCUGUUUAGGAGGUGAAUUUCUCAAGAACUGAGGCACCUUAUUAGCCCAUGAAGGCACCAAUUCAUUACUAGUAAUCCCAUAAUUUGCCCCAUAAGUAUAGCUCAUCGAUCGGUUCUCGAAAGAAGACUGUUGUGUAGGUUGAUUAUCAGAUCCCAGAAGACCUUGCAACAUCGUUGAAGGGCUUCCAUAGAUAGCAGUUGAAUCCAUUUGAAACUGCAAGCCUUGACAUGUCACAGUACUAUCACAAGAGCUCCCAUGAGGACUAAACUGCGGUUGAUCCAAAGAAAAACCUCGGUUCAUUUGCUUAAACUCAUUCAUGGAAGAUUCCCCACUAAACAUUCUCUCUCUCCACUGAACUUGAGAUGAUCCAAUCCCAGUUUCUUGCUGAUAACUUGUGCUCGAAUUCAAGUUCUCUUGCAGCAUCGAACGGAGGCUGCUGUCAGUCUUAUCACUGCGAAGUAAAGCUUGGUUCCAAUCCAUGGCCUGGGAAGAGAGGCCUAAACCCAUCAUAUGCAAGUCAGCACCAGAAUCUUGGCCUUGUUGCAGCUUCUGGGUAUCAUGAAAAACUACAGAACUAUCUGAGACGGAGGCAGACUCAAUAGAAGACCUUCCUUUGACAUCCACCAUUUCCGAUGGCCAAGCAAAGCUGCCCAAGCUAUUAAGCCCUGAAGAUGAAGAAGAAGAGCCGCUAUCAAACCUGUUCCUAGAAGAAUCCCACCAGUUUGUGGUUGUGUUGAACUCAUCCGCCAUGGUUAAAAGGCAAAGGUAAAGCUGCUGCUGAUGCUGGUGCUUUAUAGUUGCUAUGUUGGAGGUUUUGUGCGGUUAAUGUCGUAAGAAUCUUGGGUUUUUUCUUGGGCAAUCAAUCCCUUGAAUUGUUUAGUUUGCUGGAAGCUUUUCUUCCUUUUUGUGGUUACAUAAAAUUAUAGAAAACGGUUCGCUGCAUCUGAAGGGUAUUUAUAGUGAGGAAAGAAGCCAUUUGGGUCUCCGUGGAGUAACCGGAAUGCUGGUGUUUGACAUUUCUAGGGGUGAAUGAGCUGAGCUGAGCUGAUGGAUGAUUAGACAAAGG